UCUUUCUUUGCUGGCGACCGGCGCACGGGUGAGUAACACGUAUCCAACCUGCCCUUUACUCGGGGAUAGCCUUCCGAAAGAAAGAUUAAUACCCGAUAGUAUAAUGAUUCCGCAUGGUUUCAUUAUUAAAGGAUUCCGGUAAAGGAUGGGGAUGCGUUCCAUUAGGUUGUUGGUGAGGUAACGGCUCACCAAGCCUUCGAUGGAUAGGGGUUCUGAGAGGAAGGUCCCCCACAUUGGAACUGAGACACGGUCCAA
rnacentral:rRNA from 1 species